UCCCUCUUCAUCUUCGCCUUCUCUACUUUCUAAUUGCUUUGUUUUUUUUUCUUUUUUCAAGAUUCUUUUUUUAGGGUUUCUCGAAUUUCUUUACUAUGGUUAAUAUUGCCGCCGAUGAAUCCAUAACAAAUUAGAGUUUCAAGAACCCAAAUCCUCAAAUUGCUAUUUAGUCUGUCGAAAAAUAAGGAUUUGUCUUGCGACCUUAGGUUUUUAUGGCAUUCGAGGGAAGUACCUGAGUUGCUGUCUUCUUUUAUGUUUCUGCUCUCUUGCUUUUCUCCUUCUUUAUUUCUCAAGUUGGGAAAGGGGCAUCGCUUUUGGUUUCUGUACAAAGAGGCCCUGAUGAUUCCUGGACAAGGGUUUUGCUAUGUUUUGUGCGGAAAACAACUAUUUCUUGACGGUGAGGCAAUCUUGGAUGGUCUGCUGCUUUUCUUCUGCAGGCAACUGGUUGCAGCCAUUUUGAUUUUUUAGUUGCAAAUCAAUUGGUGAAUCAGAGCUUCCCUCUUCAUCUUCCCCUGCUCUGCUUUCUACUUACCUGGCUUUUUUUCUUUUUUUUUUUUUUCCAAGAAUCUUUUCUUUAGGGUUUCUUGAGUUUCUUCACUAUGAUUAAUAUUGCUGCCGAAGAAUGCAUAGCCAAUUAGAGUUUCAAGAAUCCAAAUCCACAAAUUGCUAUUUAGUCUGUUGAAAAACAAUGAGUUGUAUUCUUGACCUUAAGUUUUCUUGGCAUUCAUGGGAACUAUUUGAGUUGCCACUGGCAACAAUUGUUUUGAUCUUCUUCUCAUUGUUACUUUCUCCUACAUUCUUUAUUUUCUUUCCUUCUAAGGAAAUUGCGAUAAAUGAGAGCUUGGAAACUCAGAACUCGAAGAAAAAUUCUGGGUUGCUAUACCAAGCUACCAUUACCCACCAGAGAUGGUUUCUCUACACCACUGCAGGAGGUGCACAGAAAUUUCUCUAUAGCUGGUGUAUCCGAAGAGGCUGUGAUGAUUUCUGAAUGGGGAUUUUGCUACAUCAUGAAGUGGAAAACUAUUUUGAGCGGCAAGUCAUGGUCUGCUGCUGUUUGUCAGGAAGCAUAUUGGAGUUGGUUUGAUGUAGUUGCAGAGUGCUCCGAAUUAACAUAAUGCCGGAUAAAAUGAAUGCAUAGGAUUUGGAGGAUAAUGAAAGUUUCAGGAUGAGGAUGGUAUCAAUAAAGAAAGAGAGGCUUCAGGCUAUUCAUUGCAGAUUUUAAGGUGGAUGAGUCAGGCAUAUGGGGCGGUCCGGUCCGAGGGGAAAGCAAGGAAACUUGAGUGAUCGAUAUUUGAUUAAAAGAUAAAUCUGAAAGUAUUUUCAAUGCAAUUUCUCCUUGAGAUAACUGAACCACCAAGGGAAUAUUACAAAAAAUCUUUUCUUGUAAGACCAGUUGUUUUAAGUUUGAGAGUGAAUUGACCUUGAGGAAAGUUGCACAAUUUAAGAUAAAAAACACUUCGACUCCUAAGCAGCAGUAAAAUGCUGCAGAAGUGUGUGAGAGGGAUCUAAUGUUUUUCUAUUUUGUUAUUAUUGUUUAGGAAUCUAGCUGUUUCUAGCAGCUAUAUUUACAACAACUGCAUUUGCAAGAUGUUAGCUGAUUUCUGAACUCCAGGAUUGGGUCCAUAAAAGCCGGGCUGGGAUAGGGUUAUUCUUUGCUCUUGCAUAUUGUCCUAAUUAACUUUUUGCAGCUAGAGAGAUGCCCUAAACCUGCAUCAUGCCAUUAGCGUCUGGUGCCAAACAGCACUAACAUCCCUUGCUACAGCAUCUCUUCAAAGAUUGUGGGAGACUAAGCUUGCAGUGCUUCGGGUAGAAUUGAUUGGACUUUAAUUAGAAAGUUAAUCUGUAGUCUGAUUAGUUUCUCUAUAUAUAGUAGUACUGGCUGACAAAAGAAAUGAAUUGUAGAAGAAGAUAAAGGGCUCAAGCU